CCCCGACACACACUUGGCGCGCAUCUCAUGCACCCAGGGCUCGCCUCAUGGGGGGCGGAGCCGGGUCUUCCUCAUCUCCUCCAACAGAUUCUGUGCUGCGGGAACUGGGAGCCCACGCUGCUCAGGAGCUGGGAAGCCACGGAGCCGCCGACUCGGGCCUUGCCUGGACGCCGUGAGAGCCCGGAAGCCCGGCUCGUCCUGCGGAGCCGGCUGAGGGCCAAACACCCCCGCCUCCCAAGUCAAGGAGGCCAAGGCUCAGAAAGGAAAAGAACAAGAGCAGAGCCAUCCAACUGGGGCAGGCUUGGAAUGGACAGAACCAUUUGGUUUGGUUUCAAGACUAAUACCCUUAGCCACCGUUCUUCCCUGCCUCCAAGUGACACCCCCAAAGAACUGUCCUGGCACCACCUCCUGGGGAGCAGCAGCCCAUCCCUCAUCGGCAGCUCCAACCGUCCACAGAAAGGGGGGAGAACAGUAAGUGGGAAGUGUGGUCAGAAACUAUGGCGUAGUGUUUCAGUUAGAAAAAUGUGUUACAGUGAAAAACACAUGAGCAUGAAUGCCCCUCAAAACCCUCGCCCUCCCUUCCAGCAGCACACGCAUGCAUCUUUCUUGCGCACUUUCUGGAGCAGCUCUGGAGGUCUUCUUUCACGAGUAUCUUUAGUUGUGCUGUCAUGACUGCUUUUAUGUCCUGAAUCGAUUCAAAACAUUACCUUUUGUUGUCAUUCGAUUUAGGGAAGAGCCGGAAGUCUCACGGUGGCAGAUCCUGUGAAUAUGGAUGAGGACACAGUGGCAUGUUUACAUGAGCUGCCUUUCCUUUGGAAGACACUUGGCAACAUCAUGUACCAUAUUUUUGAUCAUACCUCAUAAAGACAUGCAGGAAGAGAGGACUUCCAGAAGAGAUUUAGAAAGUGGCAGAAGGAUAGGCUAAGGAGGGAGGAGGAUUAUGAGGGGGACUCAUGGGAAAUGUGUCUUUUUCUGUAAUAAUUGAAAACAACUGUAACAUUCAUUGCCUAGUUCAGUCACACCUCAUGUGCUGUUUUCUCCUCCGCACUGACUUUCACAUCCCCAUGCCCACUGUUCCUUCACCUUCAAGGGACUCAGGGGAGGCUCCUGGGCAGGGGAUUUAUACAGGGUCAGGUCUGGGAAUCAUGCAGCAGCAGCAUUUGGUAGGAAUGGUUUAGUCUUGAGCCCUUCAAGAGGAAACUCUGAAAACAAGACGUAAAACGAGACAUUUAUGGAACCAAAGGAAUUAAAAAGUGCACCUCCUACACAUCCAUUCAGGUAAUACUCAUGAGGUCUGGACUGUUGGACUCAUUUUCCUUUGGAGACACCAAAGCUCAGAGUCCAAGUAACUUCCUGAGUUCUACCAGAAAGAGAGGUGAAGUCAGGCUUUGGAACCACAUAGGAUUGACUGCAAUGCCAUGCCUUCCCCUUGGUGGAAGGAAUGAUGAAUAUUAAGAGUGUAAGCCAAGAAAUCAUAAGAUAAAAGCAAAGUGGAAGGAAUAUAGACUUGGGAUUUUCAAACAAGAAGUAGAUCAUGACUUGAUAUUCUUUGGGGUAGAUAAGCAGGGUCAGAGAAAGUUCAGCAUGCAUCAGGGUGUUUGUAAAUUUUGUGAUUGCACUGCUAUAUCCUGGUCAAGAAGCAAAACAAACAAUCUAGUUUCCCCAAGCUUGCAAAGUAUUGCUAGGUCGCAGAAAACUCUCUAACAGGUUCCAUUCCUGCUAUGAUGUCUAUGUGGCAGUUUACCCCCGAUCAAUAAAUUCUGUAAGGACCAGAAAAGGAUUUUGCUCUUUUUGACCAUUCUGCAGGCUUUUGAUUUUUAUGUUGUCAAGACUUCUCGGAGGUUCUCAAAUGCCAGUAGUAAAAUCCUCCCCCAUAACUCUUUCCUAUGUUUUGGUCAAGCCCAUACCCAAGAAGAUGUCUUGCAUUGGGAAUAGAGGAUAUCAUCUCCCCAGAAGACAUAUGUGGAUGGAAAACUUAAGACAAAGAAUUUGCAGACAUUUUCACAAAAGGCCAUCUAGCAAAUAUUUUAGGGCUAUGGCUAUUUUGGAAGUUGUUCCAGUUUCAUUACAAUAAUUGAAAAAUAAGGAAAAGUUCUGAAACAUAGCUGUAAAAUUCAGUUGAAAUGACUUAGGAAAUGUACCAGAAAUUUAACAACAACUUGGAGGAGGCCCUUUGCAUACGUGACAUGGCUUAAAAACUCAAGCUGGGCUUAAAUUUUUCACUCUCCUGCUUACUUUGUGGAGUUGCUUAACCAAUCAGAACUCAAAAUGCUUUCUCAGCAGUAAAAUGGAAAUUAGAAUGCGUGGAUUCCAAUUAGAAUGAAUUAUCAGAGCUAGAGAAUUAAGCAAUGUAAUGCAUAUCAGAUGCUUAGCACUAUACCUGGCAUAAAGAAAGUACAGCACUUAACAUGCUAGUUUUCUGUAUUGAUUUAGUAUUGAUCAAUUUGUCAUUUAUGAAUGUAGUGACUGUAGCCAAUGAUGUAAAAAAAAAUAAUUAAAAACAUGAAUAUAGCAAGUUAAUUAAUAUAAGAGAAAGAAGCCAUGGAUCAGAUAAUUGAAAGACAUUAACAAAUUAACAGGGAUGUUUAGAAAUUUUUAUCAACAGAGGUGAAAUUGUUAAUAAAUGUUUGCUAAUUGAUGGGGAAAAUGAAAGCAUUUUGUCUCUUUUGGGAUCAUAGGGCUUUUACAAUGACACUGUAUCCUAUAACUUGAUGAAGUUAUCUUUAUUUUUUAAAUUAUAAAUAUGAAUACAUUACUUGCACCAAUUAAUGGGCUUCACUAGACCUUUCCAUACAUGGAUGUGUCCUGUAGUAAUUGUAUCCACCCUCCCUACCACCCUUUCUUCUUCGCCCUCCCUUCUUCUGUUUCCUUCUCCUGGCUCCUUUUCUUUUUCUUAGUAGUCUCUGCGCUCCUUUCAGGUUCCCUCCCUGCCUUCCUUCCUUCCUUGCCUCCUUCCUUUGUUCGUUGCUACACAGCACAUAGGAGAAUGGUGCUUGGCUUUCUGAGUCUGGCUGAUUUUGUUUA
ensembl:lncRNA